UUCAUCAACCAUUAAACAUACAUUAAAAAUAUUUACCAGUGAAUAUAUAACACUAAACACUAACUCUAUAUUAAAAACAUGUCAGUGCAUCUCAUGUUGGCACAGUUGGGAAUUGAGGAUAUGUUUUUUAAAAUUUUUUUCUGUUGAAAGGAAGGU